AUUGAACGCUGGCGGCAGGCCUAACACAUGCAAGUCGAACGAGUGGCGGACGGGUGAGUAAUGUCUGGGAAACUGCCCGAUGGAGGGGGAUAACUACUGGAAACGGUAGCUAAUACCGCAUACCAUCGGAUGUGCCCAGAUUGGAUUAGCUAGUAGGUGGGGUAACGGCUUACCUAGGCGACGAUCCCUAGCAGGUCUGAGAGGAGGACCAGCCACACUGGGACUGAGACACGGUCCAGACUCCUACGUGAGGCGGCAGUAGUGAAUAUUGCACAAUGGGCGCAAGCCUGAUGCAGCCAUGCCGCGUGUAUGAAGAAGGCCUUCGGGUUGUAAAGUUCUUUCAGCGAGGAGGCGUUACUCGCAGAAGAAGCACCGGCUAACUCCGUGCCAGCAGCCGCGGUAAUUC
rnacentral:rRNA from 1 species